AAGUCGUAACAAGGUUUCCGUAGGUGAACCUGCGGAAGGAUCAUUAUUGAAUGUAUUCAAGGAGGUUGAUGCUGGCUUCAAAUUUUGAAGUAUGUGCUCGUCUCUUUGACUUACUAUUUUCCCCCUCUGUGCACCUUUUGUAGUUUCUUGAGUUCUCUAGUUGUCAGGUUGAGUAACGAAUGUAAAAAGUUUGUGAAAGGCUUUUCAAUAUUGGAGUUCUCAAGUCUCUAUGUUAUAUCAAACCCUUUUGUAUGUUAUAGAAUGUCUUUUUACUGGUUUGUAACGAACCUUUAAAUCAAUACAACUUUCAGCAACGGAUCUCUUGGCUCUC
rnacentral:misc_RNA from 1 species